UGCUCCCUCUCUCACAUCCCUUGCAUGGUGGAGGGUGAGCUUUCUGAAAACCCCUCCCACAUGCAGGGUUUGCAGGAUGGCGAGCC
ensembl:miRNA MIR188 microRNA 188